rnacentral:rRNA from 1 species
AUAGCCGGGUAGCUAAAUACGGACGGGAUAACCGCUGAAAGCAUCUAAGCGGGAAGCCUCCCUCAAGAUGAGAUCUCACAGACGAAAGUCUCUAAAGGUUUGUCGAAGACGACGACGUUGAUAGGUGGGCUGUGAAAGCACAGUAAUGUGUGUAGCUAACCCAUACUAAUUUGACCGUGCGGCUUGACUCUAUAA